rnacentral:lncRNA from 1 species
GCAGGGCUUCGCCUAAGCACUACAACAACUAGAUGACAACCCGCGCAUUGCUGCGGGACUCAUUUGCAGACACCCUAAAACUAUAGUGAAGAAAUAUAUGUGGUCAUAUAUUGUAAACAGAUAAAUUGGUAGACAAAUUGAUGGAGUACACUUGUGAUGAUAACCGACAACACCAAGGUAUUAGUUAGAAAAUUUAGCACAUAUACCGACGGAUAAAAAAACUCUAUGCAAUGACAUAAUAUGAAUGUUUAUGAAGACACUAAGAAAAUGAUCCAGGAUAUGCCGUGUCAUCCUUGUGUCAUGUCAAGCAUUUGUAGAUGGGCCUUUUCCUUGAUAUAACUGCCAGGGAAAAAAUUAAGAAGGUACGUACAAUUAGUAAAAUGAAAUGUCCCAUAUAUAUAUAUGCAAUUAUGAUGUUGUGUUUCUCUUUCGUCUUACUCAUCAUUUCACUUUGUAUAGUAAAAUCUAAGUUAAAUAUAGUAAAUAUAAAUCACCUGAUGAAACUUGAUGGCGAUCAAGAUGAAAUUUACUGUCACAACAACAACUAUAUCAUGGUCUAUUUAUAAAAGCCAUGCCUGACGGGCUGAUAGCAAAUAAAUGUAGUAUAUUUAGUGUGAUGUUUUGAUGUUUCUCAGACCUAAAGAAGAGAGAAAUUGAGUUUAAGAAAAGAGCAGAAACCUUCUAUUUGGACGUCAACGGUGACUAUCAUUGACAUCAGUUAAAUUUAGUGAUAGCACCUGAAGUUGAACUUCAGAACACAAAAAAUAUCUGAGCUGCAAACGCAAUGGUAAGAAUCAGAAAGAAUUGUUGGUUGCAAAGAAAAAUAUCAAUUGGUAUAAAUAUAUAGAUGUAGGAUAAAUAUACGAUUUGAUCCAAAACUGCAUCAACAUAGGCAGACAUAUAACUCGAAAAUCAGCAUACAUAUUAUCUCAAUUUGUCAUGCAGAAACAUACCACUUCAUAAUCAUAAGAAAAGAGAGGCAGAUAGUCCAACAAAGCAUAUCAGGCACCAGAUUCAACAUUUAUGUCACUCAUUUCCUUGGACAGAUAGUGGCAGAUGCGCAACCUGUAUAAGUGGUUGAGGAGAUAAGAUAUCUUGUUGAUGUAGAUAAGAAAAUUCUGCAGAAACAAAUGGAGCUGCAAACUGUUUGGACUUUGAUAAGAUAAUACCACGGUGACAUGGAUUAGAAAUUCAUGCAGAACCAAACAUGAGAAGGUAGAAGAUUAAAGUUGGUUGACUACUACAACAUGGCAGGUUGUAGUACCUGCUUCAUAAACAAAAAAGAAUAUAUUUAACCUUCUAAUGGAAGUACAUACUAAAACUUCACCCAACAAAAGCAUCAGGAGGCCGUGGACAUUCAACAAAUAUUGGGAGGCGGUAGAGACUAGGGAGUAGUUAGAUAGAGGAAGAUGAUACCUGUGAGGAGGAUAGAGUUGUACUUCCAAGCGAGGAAAGAGACAUGAGCUUGAGUGACAGAUGCGAAGACAUGCAUGGGCGCAUGAUUGCAUGACCACCAGGAGAUGAACCGCAGAAUCGGCGGAUGACAGAUGCACAUUACGAUGCCAAGUUGGAUAAAAGCACUAAGCAUCUGGCGAUUAGGCACAACCUCGCCGAUGAUCUAGAUAUACAAGGACCAUGGAAAGGAGGGGAUUGAAAAGAGGUGUUGACAUUGUUGGGAAGGAGAAGUGGAAGGGAUGGUACCAAUUGUAGCAGAAGGGACUGAGGAACGUG